UACAGAGGUCCCAAGCGUUGUUCGGAUUCAUUGGGCGUAAAGGGUGCGUAGGCGGCGCGGUAAGUCGGGUGUGAAAUCUCGGAGCUUAACUCCGAAACUGCAUUUGAUACUGCCGUGCUUGAGGACUGGAGAGGAGACUGGAAUUUACGGUGUAGCGGUGAAAUGCGUAGAUAUCGGGAGGAACACCUGUGGCGAAAGCGGCGCACUGGACCACUUCUGACGCUGAGGCGCGAAAGCUAGGGCAGCAAACAGG
rnacentral:rRNA from 1 species